rnacentral:rRNA from 1 species
CAUGGAGGGUGAGAAUCCCGUUCGAUCUGGGUCGGGUUGCUUUACGAUACGCUUUCAAAGAGUCAAGUUGUUUGGGAAUGCAGCUUAAAAUGGGAGGUAAAUUUCUCCUAAAGCUAAAUAUUAGCGAGAGACCGAUAGCGAACAAGUACCGUGAGGGAAAGAUGAAAAGUACUUUGAAAAGAGAGUUAAAUAGAACGUGAAAUUGUUGAAAGGGGAACGAUUGAAGUCAGUCGUACCGACGGGAAAUCAACCUUUUGAGUGUGAUCCCGCGGGCGUGAGAGAGCCUAACAGCCUCCGCGUUUUCGGGUUUGUAUUCUUUGGGCGUAUUUUCUCGUGUGGUAGGUCAGCAUCAAUUUCGAACGUUAUAAAAGGACCGGAGGAAUGUAGCUUCGAUUCGUCGGAGUGUUAUAGCCUUUGGUAAAUGUAACGAUCGGGAUUGAGGAUUGCAACGAAUACCCUUCGGGCUAUCCGUCUGGCCUCUGAUGGUGACCUUGGUGCCGAAAGCUUGCUUACGGUUAUUGAGGUUCGCUGUCAAAAGGUCAGAACGCGAUUAAAUUCGUUAAGGAUGUUGACGUAAUGG